UGGGGGAUAUUGGACAAUGGGGGGAACCCUGAUCCAGCGAUGCCGCGUGAGGGAAGAAGGUUUUCGGAUUGUAAACCUCUGUGGAUGGGGACGAUAAUGACGGUACCCAUCAAGGAAGCCACGGCUAACUACGUGCCAGCAGCCGCGGUAAUACGUAGGUGGCGAGCGUUGUCCGGAAUUACUGGGUGUAAAGGGAGUGUAGGCGGGAAAGCAAGUCAGAAGUGAAAACUAUGGGCUUAACCCAUAGCCUGCUUUUGAAACUGUUUUUCUUGAGUGAGGCAGAGGCAAGCGGAAUUCCUAGUGUAGCGGUGAAAUGCGUAGAUAUUAGGAGGAACACCAGUGGCGAAGGCGGCUUGCUGGGCCUUUACUGACGCUGAGGCUCGAAAGCGUGGGGAGCAAACAGG
rnacentral:rRNA from 1 species